rnacentral:rRNA from 1 species
GAUGAACGCUGGCGGCGUGCCUAACACAUGCAAGUCGAGCGGCAGCGCGGGGUGCUUGCACCCUGUCGGCGAGCGGCGGACGGCUGAGUAACGCGUGGGAACGUGCCCCAAAGUGAGGAAUAACUGCCCGAAAGGGUAGCUAAUACCGCAUAUUAUCUUCGGAUCAAAGGAUUUAUCCGCUUUGGGAGCGGCUCGCGUCGGAUUAGGUAGUUGGUGAGGUAAUGGCUCACCAAGCCGACGAUCCGUAGCUGGUCUGAGAGGAUGACCAGCCAGACUGGAACUGAGACACGGUCCAGACUCCUACGGGAGGCAGCAGUGAGGAAUCUUACACAAUGGGCGAAAGCCUGAUGGAGCAACGCCGCGUGCAGGACGAAGGCCUUCGGGUUGUAAACUGCCUUUAUAAGUGAGGAAUAUGACGGUAACUUAUGAAUAAGGAUCGGCUAACUACGUG